ACAUAUAAUGUUAAUCCUUUACAGUUCUUCACAUCUUUAAAUUCAAGAAAUAUUUUAGUAUUCUGCUUUUUAUUAAUUUGCCUUGCAUACAACUUUCACAGUUGAAAUAUCGAUCAUUGCGUAAAAUAUACAUUUGUUCACGACAGAGAUGGAUUGAAAAAAUAUUGUCAAAGCUUAUAAUUUGUCACGGGGGAUUAAGCGAUAAUCUGCGGACGGUUGUCAGAUAUACAGCCAAAUAAAAUUUACGCAUGUAGAUAUUGUUAAUCCGUAUUUUUUUCUUUCGAUGUCAUUUUUAUUUUUAUUUUUUUGUAACUUAUAGGAAUCGCAGUGUAGCGCGGAAUUUGAAUGGCACACCGAAGUGAUCUGCGCGAAACAUGCCAAUUCUCGAGAUGUGGAUCGAGAAGAAGUACCUUCCUCCGGAAUUCUCUUGGUCUCUUCUAGUCACGGUAAACACGCUGGAGCGAUAGCUGGCAUAGUGCUAACUGUGAUCGCGGUGUUGGUCGCUUUAAUUUAUUUCCGAAAUCCGGAGAAAAGAGCGUGCUUUCGUUCGUGGAUAAAUCUGCUUAGUUUCAGAAGAGGUGCAAGCCGCAUCCAGUAUUGUAGAGUCGAUACGACUGAGGAGGCUAGACUUUUGUUCGACGCUUCCGAUCCCACGCAGUGUCAAACGGAUAGCGACGAUGAUCUUCUGCAUGCAUAGCAAAAUAACGUUAUAAUUUUCGUUCUAAAAUUAUAGAUUUUACCGAAUUACCGAAUUAUAAUAAUUUAUUUUCAAUAUUUUUCUGUAAAUCGUCGAAUAUAAAUCAUCUUGAAAAUCAUAUGGGACAAAGUAUGAAAUUAAUACAUUACAUUAAUAAUAUUUGUGUGCUACAAAA